UCUCAUAAAGACUGCAAAGUUAUUUGCUGUUCUUCUAAACUGUAUCUCGCCUGUAAUAUUUUCUGACACUAGAAAUAAAAUAAUAACAUGUUUUGGUUCUUCUUUCUGCACUCCCUACUACACCAAAAGUGGUUUAGAUGAAAUAGGUAUGAAAGGCACAAUGAAUGCAGGGUUUUCCAUGCUACAGGGUUUUCCAACUGCCUCAAAGACAAAGGAGACAGAACAUACAGAUGUUUGUGUCUUGCUGCAAGAGUUGUGGACUAACUCCUUCAGUGUCUCUGGAAUGCAAAUUUUCUUUCACAGUUUAGCAGUCUUUUUUGGAUUUCAGCACAGUGAACUAACACUUUCCUGGAUUCCAAGACCUCCAGAGAACCAGAUGGAUGAGAGGAACUGGGAAAAAGAACCCACACUGUUUGAAAAAGAAACUGGACUGUACUUUAAAAUACACAGCUGCCUGCAACAAUAACAUUCACUUCCUGCUGCUUUGCUCCAAGGAGACUUGGGUAAGGGUGGAAUGAAGCACCCUUAGAGGUAAGGAGCAGGAUGUCAGCACAGCAGGAGUCUAGAACCUGCCCUCCUUGCCCAGGAGCGUCUACUUCCUUACCGCCUCACCAAGAGGGAAAUAAAUGAACAGAUCUACUUUGUUUUCUGCUUCUCCAGCUGAACCUGGUCUUCACAAAUACAUGUACUUCAUGGUUUGGGUCCAGUUAUUUAUUCCCCUGGCUUCCUUCAGUUUCCAAUGUGCAUUGGGAAGUUUGGAUGCAAAGAACCUCAGAAAUGUUUCCCUGAGUGAAGGACAACAUCAAGAAGAAAUGACAUACAGGAUCACACCUCUUUCCCGAUGAGGAGCCACACACAAGUCUCCCUGUGGAGAAGCAGCCCUGGUGCUGCCGGACACUCACCCAUUCUCUUUUGCUCAGGAUGUUCCCUAGAUUCCAGACAAAGAACUCUGAACUCUGAACUCGUCUUAUGUGCUGCCCUCCUCGUUGCUCUCUUAAUGGUAUUCUUCGCACUUACAGCUGACGGGCCAUUUCCAUACUCCAAUUGUAUGUGUCCUCUCCCCUGGAGAAUUUUUGGUGCAAGAACCCAUUUCUCCUCUUAAAUACUAUUUUGUUUUACUUCCAGGGGGAGCAGAUUUGCAAGAACAGAGGGCUGAUAUGAAAGGAAGGGGAAGUAAAUGGGAUGAAGAUACAUGGUGUGAAAGAAACAAAGAAUAAAUAGAAAGUUAAAAUAAAAAAAAAAAAGAAAAGAAUGCUUUGCUGGUAGAACUAUGCCCUUGCAGCCUGUUUCACUGUAUUCUUGGUUUUGCCAGUGUUUAUCUCCACUGUUCUUUGAACUUCUGGGGAUGGGGCCAUGACUUAAAUUAUCUUUUCAUUUCCAUAGCUAGCAAAGUGUCUGUCAUAGGCAGCAGGUAUGCAAUAAGUGACCUUUGACUCAUGAGGGAGUAAAUAAAAUGCAAAGAGUUGAUUUUGUUGAGGUUAA